rnacentral:rRNA from 1 species
UAAGGAAUAUUGCUCAAUGGGAGAAAUCCUGAAGCAGCAACGCCGCGUGGAGGAUGAAGGGUCUAUGACUUGUAAACUCCUGUAAAGAAGGAAAAAAUUCCCAUUAGAUGGGAGAUGAUGGUACUUCUGGAGUAAGCCCCGGCUAACUACGUGCCAGCAGCCGCGGUAAUACGUAGGGGGCAAGCGUUGUCCGGAUUUACUGGGUGUAAAGGGUGCUCAGGCGGAUUUGUAAGUCAGAGGUGAAAUCUUACAGCUUAACUGUGAAACUGCCUUUGAUACUGCAAGCCUAGAGUAUGGAAGAGAGCGAUGGAAUAUCUGGUGUAGCAGUGAAAUGCGUAGAUAUCAGGUAGAACACCAAUGGCGAAGGCAGUCACUUGGUCCAUUACUGACGCUAAAGCACGAAAGCGUGGGUAGCAAACA